rnacentral:rRNA from 1 species
UACAUAGGGGGCAAGCGUUGUCCGGAAUUAUUGGGCGUAAAGCGCGCGCAGGCGGUCGUUUAAGUUUGGUGUCUAAUGCCGGGGCUCAACCCCGGUCUGCACUGAAAACUGGACAACUUGAGUGCGGGAGAGGAAAGUGGAAUUCCACGUGUAGCGGUGAAAUGCGUAGAGAUGUGGAGGAACACCAGUGGCGAAGGCGACUUUCUGGACCGUAACUGACGCUGAGGCGCGAAAGCGUGGGGGAGCAAACAGG